AGUUCAUAUAAACUGAUUAUUUCGUUUAAACAUCAAUCUCUCUCAUCCCACAAUCUCUCUCAACUCUCAAACUCUCCACUGUCUCUCUCAAUUUCUCUCCCUCAGAAAUCUCCCUGCACACCAUCUCCCUCGCCUCUCUCGCUCACAAUCUCUCCUGCGCCCCUAUCUCUCUCGGUUUUCUCUCUCCCCGCAUCUGUCUCUCUCCGCGCCGCCGCGCCGCCUCUCUCCCCGAACGGCCACUGCUGUCGCCGCCCCUCUUCCUCCGUUUUCUCUCCGCUCCUUCCCCUUUUUCAAGUCGACUGGGAUGUUCAGAAGUAGUGAAUAGUAUCAUGGAGCGAAGCUGACAUAAACCAAUGAAGUGAAGCUGUGUUAUGGAUAUUUUAUUAAAGUCUGUCAGAAACUAAGCAGAAGGGAACAGUUCAGUAGAUAAUACUAUUAGAAAUCUGAGUUAGACACCAGAGUUAAGACAAGUAUUCCUAUUCAACUUCUAUAUUUAAAAGCAAGUGUUUGUAUUUUCCUCUUGUGGUUAAAAGCAAGUUCCCAGUUUCUUCUAUUUAUUCAAGAAUGAUUUUGAGACCUAUUAGAAUUCUUUAUUGCUAAACGUAUUCCUAGUGGCAAUUGGUUAUUUUGUUCAAUAUUCUCUUGAUAUUAUUCUUUUUAAGAGUGUUGAGCAUAGCCAACUAUAUAUGAUUUCAAACUUGGUUAACAGUAAAAUGUUGUAUACAGAGGAGUACUAUGCAGGUUUUGAUUUAAAGGGGUUGGAUACCUUUUGGUUUUAGUAACAUGAAAAUGAUGUUAAAAGACUUCUAAUAUAGAAGUAUUAUUUAUAAACUGUUAACCAAUCGGAAUUCAUUUGCUGGACCGUGGUGCCGGUCGUGGUUACAUGUUACAUUAUUUUAAGGCCAAUGUGUGCCUUAGGCCCCUUAGUUCUUGGGACAGGUAGCGCCCCGUUCCGGUUCUUGAUGCUCGGCUGGUCACCGUGUUAGCACAACGCACCCUAGGAAUUAAGAUGAUUUGCUUGUUAAGCUGCGCGUGAGAAUAUUGCUAGGCGAGAUGACAAGGGACUAAGUUUCAGCUUGAUAAUCAGGUAGAGUAUUUUGGAAGAUACCAAGGAAACUAGUUGUGAUUAGAAUGGUACAAUUUAUAUUAGCUGUAAAAUAGAUUAUUUAUUGGUUAUUAGUUGCUCUUCUUAUCGAGGUUUAACUGAUAAGGUAGUUUAAGUUGUAAUAGGAUUUGAAGUUUGGUUUCUGAUUUCAGUGCUGUAACCUGUUAGCGAUCCAGUUUUUAGGGGGUCAAAGUGAUUUUGAUUUAAAUCAUUUUUUUAAAAUAUUCAGGUUUUGAAAUACUUGUUUUUAUCUUCUUCCAAAAGUACAGGUUUUAAAUAGUUUUUCUUUAAGUGGCACCAAAUCCAGACCCCCGGAUUUGAGGGAUGUCACACCUGACCUUAAUAGAUCUUUGAAAAACAUACCGCUCCCUUCAGUUGGUCGAAUAGGUCAUCAAUCCUGGGUAGUGGGUACUUGUUUUUAGGGCCGUCUAGGACUUUUUCGAGGCUUUGAAAUUGAGCCCCUUCCAAGUAACAGAAGAAAAUUUUAACAUAUUUAAAAUAACAAGAUAUCAUAAACAAAAUUAGACUACUACAACUGAAAUUUUUUUGUUUUCUGACUAGUUAGACUUAAAUAUGUAGGUGGUCGUGUGGGAUUUAUUGCUUGUACAGUAUACUAGUUUGUGGGGAGAGAAAAGGAAUAAGAAGAGACGUGCAUGGCUGAGUGUUGGGAGUUGAGAAUUGAUUAGUGUUUAAAUGAAAUAAUGGUAAAAAUUAAAGAUAUAUUAAUAUUAUAUUAAAUUUAUCAUGAGUAUACUAAAAGAUAGAAAGAGAUAGUCAUAAAUUGGGGGCCCUAAAUUUUCAUGGGCCCUGUGCUGUUGCACUUGUUGCACUCCCUCAAAACUGGCCCUGCUUGUUUUUAAUGGUCAGCUUAUUCAAUUCAUGGUAGUCAAUACAUAAUCUCAUACUACCGUCCUUUUUUUCACAAAGAGAACCGGAGCGCCCCAUGGUGAAACACUGGGUCUAAUUAUUCCUUUAUCAAGAAGAUCUUGUAGCUGGGUGGCCAAUUCCUUCAUUUCCACUAGAGCCAUACGAUAAGGCGCUCUUUAUACUGGCUCAGUACUGGGAGCUAGGUCAAUGGCAAAUUCAAUUUCCCUGUCUGGAGGUAAACCUGGAAGUUCGUUGGGGAAUACAUCUUUGAACUCAUUCACUACAGGAAUACUUUCAAUGCUGGGUGACUCGGCAUUCAAGUCUAACACGUGAGCCAAAUAGGCUUCACAACCUUACCUUUGCAACUUCUUAACUUGCAUAAUACUCAAAAAUUCCUUCGUCUGUUUCUGACCUUUGAAUACGACUCUGGAUUUGUCUAAAGCUCGCAAUACAACUCGCUUACUCUUACAGUUGAUCUGAGCAUCAUGAUCAGUCAACCAAUCCAUUCCUAGAAUAACGUCAAACGUGCCUAACUUGAUAGGGAUCAAGUCAGCAAGGAAUACAUGACCUAAAAUCUCAAUCUCACAGCGGGGAUAAACUUGAGUAACUGAGACUUUAUCUUGAUUAGCUACUUCUAUAGAUAAAGCUUCACUUAGCAUACGAAUCUCGCAAGAUAAUUUAUGAGCAAAAUCUUCAGAAACAAAUGACUUGGUAGAUCCAGAAUCAAAUAAUACUUUGGCAGGUAUGGAGUUGAUAGGAAGCGUACCUGCCACAACACUCGAGUCCUUGACUGCAUCUUUCAAGGUCAUGUUGAAAGUCCUGGCCUUAGGUGGUAGUGCUAUGGCUAGCGGUUGUGCCUGUGGUGCUGGAAGUCUUGGCACAUUGUUGGCAGGAACUAGUGUUCUGCAAUCUCUCGAAAUAUGGUCCACUUUUCCACACUUGAAGCAUGAGGCUCCCCUAGGUCUAUUAUCCUGGUACUCACUAGCAUAGUGCCCCCUUUGCUAACACUUAAAACAUGUUACAUUUGUUCUGGAACAUAUUCCCUGAUGCUUCUUUCCCCAGAUUCUGCACUCAGGAAUGGAAGGUCUAUAUUGCCCCUGACGGUUACCUUGCUGAGGUCGACUAGCUUGACCUGCGAAACCCUAUUCUGGCCUCUGGAAUCCCAUAUUCUUACUCUGGCGAAAAUCUGGCCUUUGGGUAAAACGGUUCUGAUAGUUUACCGGCCUCUGACUAACUUCUGGGGUUUCCACCUUUCUCUUCUUACCGUCCCUUUCCUUUUGGGACAUAUCACUUUCCCCCUCAAUAAUCAUGGCCUUUUGAACAACAGCAGCCUACAAAGUUAACUCAAAAGCAGCUACCCUGCUCCGCAACCAGGGCUUUAGUACUUGUUGGAGCCUCUUAGCCCUAUGCUCAUCAGUAUUGAUGUACUCAGGAACAAACCUUGCCAGCUCAGUAAACUUAGCCUCAUAUUCAGAAACACUCAGGUUUUCAUGUUUCAGUUCCAAGAACUUUAGCUCCAUCUGAUUUUGCAUAAACCUGGGAAAGUACUUCUCCGAGAACAAUUCCGUAAACCUCUCCCAUGGAACAACUUCUCCUAUCUCAAGCGCUCGCAUGGACUCCCACCAGUAUUUGGCUUCCUCCUUCAGAAAGUAGCUGGCAAAUUCGGUCUUUUGAUCCGCCCUUACCUUUGCCACGGAAAAUGCCUUCUCAGUCUCUUUCAGCCAAGCUCUGGCUUUAAUCGGGUCGGAAGAUCCGAAGAACUCUGGAGGUUUAAUUGACUGGAAAGUAUUAAAAGUAACGACAGGCACUUGCUGGCGUUGUUGCUGCCUCUCCCGAUUAGCAGCUUGCUGAAGCAAAAGUUCCAAAAUCCGAGCGAUGGUUGGAUCUAUCUGGCCUGCAUUUGCGGUCUCUACACGAACGGUUUUCUUUGGCGGCAUGAUUCUGGUGAUAAAA